UCCAUGAAAUAUGGAGACGUCUGCAGGAGCUGCUUAAGGUCAUCUGAGGUUUUGUCUUUCACUGUUUUACUGUGUUUCUGUGGAAAAAGGCCCAGAGUCUGAGCCAGGGAGACUCCUACUGGCUGGGGCUGAGGAGCGGUGGUGGUGACGGUAGCUGGCAGUGGAGCGAUGGCUCCCCGGUGGAGAAGGGACCAGAGUUUCGGCUACAUGAGCCUGACAACACAGACAGCAGGGAGCUGUGUGGUCGAAUCACCCCAGGAGACGACUACAGGAGGAGCUGGUACAUCUCCAGAUGUUCCAACCAGCUGAGGAGGAUCUGUGAGAGGAGACAAGCUACUCUACAGUGAGGGGAGGGGAGGAGAGAGGAGGAGAGAGGAGGGGAGAUGA